rnacentral:rRNA from 1 species
AUUGAACGCUGGCGGCAUGCCUUACACAUGCAAGUCGAACGGCAGCGGACCUUCGGGUGCCGGCGAGUGGCGAACGGGUGAGUAAUGUAUCGGAACGUACCUUUCAGUGGGGGAUAACGUAGCGAAAGUUACGCUAAUACCGCAUAUUCUGUGAGCAGGAAAGCAGGGGAUCGCAAGACCUUGCGCUGAUUGAGCGGCCGAUAUCAGAUUAGCUAGUUGGUGAGGUAAAGGCUCACCAAGGCGACGAUCUGUAGGGGGUCUGAGAGGAUGAUCCGCCACACUGGACCGGAGACACGGUCCAGACUCCUACGGGAGGCAGCAGUGGGGAAUUUUGGACAAUGGGGGCAACCCUGAUCCGGCCAUGCCGCGUGAGUGAAGAAGGCCUUCGGGUUGUAAAGCUCUUUCGUCCGUGAAGAAAUCGCAACAGCUAAUACCUGGUGUGGAUGACGGUACCGGAAUAAGAAGCACCGGCUAACUACGUGCCAGCCGCCGCGGUAAUAC